GUUGGUGUCUUUGACGCAGAGGGUCCACCUGUUCCCAUUCCGAACACAGAAGUUAAGCUCUGUCGUGCCGACGAUACUUGGCUGGUGACGGCCCGGGAAAAUAGGUAGUCGCCAACA
rnacentral:rRNA from 1 species